rnacentral:piRNA from 1 species
GUGCACAGAAGUCAAGAAUUGAGGUUUG